rnacentral:lncRNA from 1 species
GAAAUUUCACCAAUAAAAUCUAAUCAUCAAUUCACUCCAAUAAACAUCAUAUUAACAACCUCAAUAGCAUAUGUCAUCCAUCAAUUCAUCAAUAAAACCAAAAGAUCAAAACUUCUCAAUUUUAGAUAAACUAAACUCUUUGAAAAUUCAAACUCCUUUAUAAACCUUUUAAAAACUCAUGGAUAUCAACUCAAUAGGUUCUCAAUUACAUAUAAAUCACCUCAAUUUAAGAAAAGAAACAGAAAUUUUUUAGAAGGGUAGAAUACCCUAAUUUUCAAAAAUUUCAAGAAAGAGAGAGGGAUAGAUUUUUCUUGUUUUCUUCCCUCAAAACAUCAAGAAAUGGAGAUAGAUCUAGGAGAUCUCAAGAUUAGCUUCACUUACUCUCAAGAUCUUGGACAGGAGAUCUCAAGAUUAGCUUCACUUACUCUCAAGAUCUUGGACAAAAAGAGGAUGAGCUUUUAGAUCCACUUUGUUUUAGAACUCUACAUUGAUCCUUCUCUUGAUUCUUGGGGAUUGAAGGCUAGAUUUAGGAUUUGUGAUGGUGGAUCUAUGUGUUUAGAAGCUUGCAAGUAUUCUUCCAUGGUGGAUUGAACAGAAAAGAGAGAGAGAGAGAGAGAGAGAGAGAGAGAGNGAGAGAGAGAGAGGGGAGGGACGAAAUGUUGGGGAAGGGAGAGAAAAAGAGAGUUUUGUUUAGAACACCAAUCUUGCUCACUAAGCU